rnacentral:rRNA from 1 species
UGGGGAAUUUUGGACAAUGGGCGAAAGCCUGAUCCAGCAAUGCCGCGUGUGUGAAGAAGGCCUUCGGGUUGUAAAGCACUUUUGUCCGGAAAGAAAUCCUUGGCUCUAAUACAGUCGGGGGAUGACGGUACCGGAAGAAUAAGCACCGGCUAACUACGUGCCAGCAGCCGCGGUAAUACGUAGGGUGCAAGCGUUAAUCGGAAUUACUGGGCGUAAAGCGUGCGCAGGCGGUUUGCUAAGACCGAUGUGAAAUCCCCGGGCUCAACCUGGGAACUGCAUUGGUGACUGGCAGGCUAGAGUAUGGCAGAGGGGGGUAGAAUUCCACGUGUAGCAGUGAAAUGCGUAGAGAUGUGGAGGAAUACCGAUGGCGAAGGCAGCCCCCUGGGCCAAUACUGACGCUCAUGCACGAAAGCGUGGGGAGCAAACAGGAUUAGAUACCCUGGUAGUCCACGCCCUAAAACGAUGUCAACUAGUUGUUGGGGAUUCAUUUCCUUAGUAACGUAGCUAACGCGUGAAGUUGACCGCCUGGGGAGUACGGGUCGCAAGAUUAAAACUUAAAUGAAUUGACGGGGUCAUAGCUGUUUCCU